rnacentral:lncRNA from 1 species
AUGAGGAAACUGAGGCCAAGAGUCUCUUUCCUUCCCUGCUCUCUCUCCAUCUCCUCUACCUUGUUUCUUUCUCCUUUCUUUCUCUCUCCUCCUUUCUCCUCUUUCAUCUCUUCUCUCUUCCUCUCCCUUUCUCUCCUCUUUCUCUUUCAUCUGUUCUCUUUUCCUCCCCUUUUCUCUCUCCUCUUUCUCUUUCAUCUCUUCUCUCUUCUUCUCCCUUUCUCUCUUUUUCUCCUCUCUUUUACCUGUUCUCUCUUCCUCUCCCUUUAUCUCCUCCUCUUUCUCUUUCAUCUGUUCUCUUCCUCUCCCUUUCUCUGUCUUUUCUCCUCUCUCUUUCAUCUGUUCUCUCUUCCUCCCCCUUUCUCUGUCUCUGUCUCUGCCUCUCAUCAGCGCUGAAGGACUCUCCUCCCGAAGAUGUCAUCCAUUCACUUGUAUCCAUAAGGCUUCCACAAAACUUUGUGGUGUUUAUCAGGAAGGGGAAAGUGCAGUCAUGUUGGAUUGGGCACAGAUAGAUCAGUGUCCUCCUGGCUCGGAAGCCAAGCAGAGCUCUGUGGUCUCUUCUUCUUUGGAUCAUUCCAGCCUCCGACAAGGUUCUGGAUUCCUGAGCCUGACCUGCUCGGAGAAGAAGCCGGGUGGGACGGCGCCGCAGUUUUUCUUGAGGGCCAGAAUCAGCAGAUGUGGAGGCCCCUGGCCCGCCUCUAUGCCUUUAGGAGAUCGCAGCUGUGCCCAUUUUCCAGUACUUUGUUGUGAUUAGCCGUGAAAUGAACCUCUUCAACAUAUCCGCCUUUUCCUUGAACCCUAGCCCAGGGGGAGCUGAGAAAGGCCCCCCUCCCGCCGAGACUUCCCCUGCUGAUUAUUAAGUCCAGUAUUCCAAGCGAAGACUAGCUUCCCCUUUGGGAAGGCCCGCGCGGCCCUUGCUGGCUGUCCAUACCACCCAAUGUGAGGGGGAGCUCUGGGAAAGUGCCCGCUCUCUGGAGAUACGUCGCCUGCCAUUGCCUAGGUCUGUCUGUCUCGGGGCAGCUGGGCUCCACUCUCCAACAGGAGAAGUCCGGGUGGAUGUAUCCAAAUCAGAGCAUCUUUGUGUACCCAUUCAGUGGAAAUUCCCCCUCCUUGCCUCCGUCCUGAGCUGGAGGGCCAGCGUGGAUCUGCCCGCGAGUGCGCCCUUCCCACAGCCCAGGCCGGUGCCUGCCCGCUCCCGGGGCACCGUGCGGAUGUGGCCGGGGAUUGGGCCCGGUUCACUCUGUCACCAAGAUGGCUCCAGGCUUUUGGAGGAGGCCAGUGGAGUCAAGGACAGGCUAGAUAAAGAAUCUCCUCACGGGCGGUCUUUUUUCCUCAGCCCCUCCCUUUCUGAGCAUCUCACCUUCCCCCUUGGCCAUGGUCCCAUCCUAUUAGGGACCGACAGAGACUUUGAACCCUUUAGCUCCCCAUUCUUGGGGUCAUUCCACCUGGGUUCAGGGUUAUGAACCAGACUGGCAGUUUGUCUCCUGGGAUGGAGAUCCAGGCCCGCCAUUAUUCAGGUAAUGGAUAUUCCCAUCAUUGAUGCAAAUACAAAGCUCUCCGUGGAAUAACACUGGCCUGUGCGUCAAUCCCAUCUCUGAUCUGACUGAAUGAUCUUGGGCAAGUCAGAUACCCUCCCCUCUCUCCAUGUCACUUUCCUUCUGAACUGAGCCAGGCCCAGAGAAGGGAGGUCCUGGGUUCAAAUGUGGCCUCAGCCACUUCCCAGCUGUGUGACCCUGGGCACGUCACAUCACCCCCAUUGCCCAGCCCUUACCUCUCUUCUGCCUUGGAGCCAAUAUGCAGUAUUGAUUCUACUAAAGAAGGUAGGAGAAGAAAGGGAGAAAGAGGCAGGGAGGGAGGGAAGGGGAGAGAGAGACUGAGACAGAGACCGGACUGAUCCCUGCUGCCAGUCUCGGAUUCUCCCUGGGAGGAGAAGACUUUAAACCACCGGAAUAGCUCCUAUUUAUAAAGCAUCUCAUUUCCAUAAUCUCAUUUGAUUUUUCACAAUCUUAACAAAAAGAAUCUCUUCCCUUUUCCCUCCUCCCCCAUUUUCCAGUUGAGGAAAUUGAAACUCAAAGGUUAAUGGAUUUUCUCAAAGUCACAAAGCUAAUAAACCUAGAUGUCUUGACUCCA